UACGGAGGGCGCAAGCGUUGUUCGGGCUUACGGGGCGUAAAGCGCGUGUAGGUGGCUUGGAAAGUCGGGUGUGAAAUCCCGGAGCUCAACUCCGGAACUGCAUCCGAUACUGCCAAGCUCGAGUCUCGGAGAGGAUGGCGGAAUUUCCGGUGUAGAGGUGAAAUUCGUAGAUAUCGGAAGGAACACCAGUGGCGAAGGCGGCCGUCUGGACGAUGACUGACACUGAGACGCGAAAGCGUGGGGAGCAAACAGG
rnacentral:rRNA from 1 species